AUGAAUGAAUUUGGGGAAUUUGAAUCUAUCUGGGAGCUAAGGGAAUACUUCAUGCUAAGUUUGAUCCUUGCUUCUCCAAUCCCCGCUCCUGAAAUAACAUCAUCCAUCAUGAAGGCACUCCAAGAAAUUUUUGUGUGUAUCUCUUGAAUCUAUAGCACAUAUUUUAAAAGAUGCAAAGAAUUGUGGAAAAAUAGCAAAAGUAAACAUAGUACAGAAGAAGACACUAUAGGAACUGGGAGUGAAUUUGAAGACUGAGAAUCACUGGCAAUGGAAGGUGAUAAGUGACAGUGAUUUUCCUUCUUGAAUAGCUUAAAAACCCAUGUAUUCAUGGGAGAUGAGUCCUUUGGUUUUGAAUUCAGAGAGCUAGAACAGGUCUCUCACCAAUGAAAGGGCAUACAAAUAAACCCACACAUCUGCACA
rnacentral:lncRNA from 1 species